GCCGUAUACAAAUUUACAUAAAGUCCUCAAUUUAGCUAAAGUUCAUAAUCAUAUUGCAAGGACUGGGUAUAUUUACAAAAAAAGACACAAAGCACGCUUUCCAUUUGAAAUGAUCAGACCAGCCAUGCUGGGCAGAAUUUCUCUCUCUUAUAACCCAUUAAGCUGCAAUGCCUCCAAAAUGCGCCCUACUUUAGUAUUUUACUCUGUCUAACCCCAGAUGAAUUUACUCGUCAAGGGGAAAGUUUUGCAUACUAUAACGGGUUAUAAUUUCAAGCAAGAUCUGGGCCAAGUUUUCGCACGUCUGAUAAAAAUGGACCUCAUGUUGAUUUGAUCUAAAUUUUUCCGUCAGACCAAUCGUGGAAGCGAAAGUUUUGUAUUCCAUUUGAUCGAUCUAACCAGUCUGACAAUGUUAUUAGAGAAAUUCAGAUUUGACAAGCGAAACAGUUUUUAUUUGGGGGUGGAGGGUGCAAAAAAUAUUCCGGACCUAACAUACUUUCCUACCUGAUAUUUUUAAUAUUUCCUGAAUUGUUCA